AUUGAACGCUGGCGGCAGGCCUAACACAUGCAAGUCGAGCGAGCGGCGGACGGGUGAGUAAUGUAUGGGGACUGCCCGAUAGAGGGGGAUAACUACUGGAAACGGUAGCUAAUACCGCAUACUAUCGGAUAACCCAUAUGGGAUUAGCUAGUAGGUGGGGUAAAGUCUCACCUAGGCGACGAUCUCUGGCUGGUCUGAGAGGAUGAUGAGACAAACUGGGACUGAGACACGGCCCGAACUCCUACGGAGGCAGCAGUGGGGAAUAUUGCACAAGGGGCGCAAGCCUGAUGCAGCCAGGCCGCGUGUAUGAGGAAGGCCUUAGGGUGGUAAAGUACUUUCAGCGGGGAGGAGGUACCCGCAGAAGAAGCACCGGCGAACUCCGUGCCAGCAGCCGCGGUAAUUC
rnacentral:rRNA from 1 species